CCAGACUCCUACGGGAGGCAGCAGUGAGGAAUAUUGGUCAAUGGCCGCAGGGCUGAACCAGCCAAGUCGCGUGAGGGAUGACGGUCCUAUGGAUUGUAAACCUCUUUUGUCAGGGAGCAAAGGGCGCCACGUGUGGCGCUUUGCGAGUACCUGAAGAAAAAGCAUCGGCUAACUCCGUGCCAGCAGCCGCGGUAAUACGGAGGAUGCGAGCGUUAUCCGGAUUUAUUGGGUUUAAAGGGUGCGCAGGCGGAAUGUCAAGUCAGCGGUAAAAUUUCGGGGCUCAACCCCGUCGUGCCGUUGAAACUGUGUCCCUUGAGUGCGCGAAGGGUAGGCGGAAUGCGUGGUGUAGCGGUGAAAUGCAUAGAUAUCACGCAGAACUCCGAUCGCGAAGGCAGCCUACCGGCGCGCUACUGACGCUCAUGCACGAAAGCGUGGGUAUCGAACAGGAUUAGAUACCCGAGUA
rnacentral:rRNA from 1 species